rnacentral:ribozyme from 1 species
UUUUUUUUUUUUUUUUUUUUUUUUUUUUUUUUUUUUUUUUGUUGCCU